rnacentral:rRNA from 1 species
AGUGUCUUAAGGGCGUUCGGUGGAUGCCUUGGCGACAAGAGGCGAUGAAAGACGUGAUACGCUGCGAUAAGCUAUGGGGAGCUGCGAAUAAGCUUUGAUCCAUGGAUUUCUGAAUGGGGCAACCCACUCCGUAUGGAGUACCCGCAAGGGAGCAAACCCGGGGAACUGAAACAUCUAAGUACCCGGAGGAAAGGACAUCAACCGAGACUCCGCUAGUAGUGGCGAGCGAACGCGGACCAGGCCAGUGGCUAUAGAGCAAGAACCGGAACCGUCUGGAAAGUCGGGCCUCAGCGGGUGAUAGCCCCGUACGGGUAGAAAUCUUUAUAGUCCUCGAGUAGGGCGGAACACGUGAAAUUCUGUCUGAACAUGGGGGGACCACCCUCCAAGCCUAAGUACUCCUUGUCGACCGAUAGCGAACAAGUACCGUGAGGGAAAGGUGAAAAGCACCCCGACGAGGGGAGUGAAACAGAUCCUGAAACCGGACGCCUACAAACAGUUGGAGGGCUUCGUGCCUGACAGCGUACCUUUUGUAUAAUGGGUCAGCGACUUAAUUUAACGAGCAAGCUUAAGCCGGUAGGUGUAGGCGCAGCGAAAGCGAGUCUGAAUAGGGCGACGAGUUCGAGGGAUAAGACCCGAAACCGAGUGAUCUAGCCAUGUGCAGGUUGAAGGUGCGGUAACACGCACUGGAGGACCGAACCCACGUCUGUUGAAAAAGACGGGGAUGACGUGUGGCUAGGGGUGAAAGGCCAAUCAAACUCGGAGAUAGCUGGUUCUCCGCGAAAUCUAUUUAGGUAGAGCGUCUCGUAUUACCUUCGGGGGUAGAGCACUGGAUGGGCUAGGGGGUCCCAACGACUUACCAAACCUAACCAAACUCCGAAUACCGAAGAGUAGAGCGAGGCAGACACACUGCGGGUGCUAAGGUCCGUAGUGGAGAGGGAAACAGCCCUGACCGCCAGCUAAGGUCCCUAAGUUAUCACUAAGUGGGAAACGAUGUGGGAAUGCUUAGACAACCAGGAGGUUGGCUUAGAAGCAGCCAUCCUUUAAAGAAAGCGUAACAGCUCACUGGUCAAGCGUUCCUGCGCGGAAAAUGUAACGGGGCUUAAGUGAUACACCGAAGCUGCGGACUCGAAAGAGUGGUAGCGGAGCGUUCUGUAAGUCUGUGAAGGUGGCCUGCGAGGGCUGCUGGAGAUAUCAGAAGUGAGAAUGCUGACAUGAGUAGCGAUAAAGAGGGUGAGAGGCCCUCUCGCCGAAAGUCCAAGGGUUCCUGCGCAAUGCUAAUCAGCGCAGGGUAAGCCGGCCCCUAAGGCGAGGCCGAAAGGCGUAGUCGAUGGGAACCAGGUUAAUAUUCCUGGGCCAGCGGGUAGUGACGGAUUGCGGACGUUGUACACUCUUACUGGAUUGAGUGUGCAGCCAAGCCGUCCCUGGAAAUAGCUCCCGCAUGAGACCGUACCCCAAACCGACACAGGUGGACUGGUAGAGCAUACCAAGGCGCUUGAGAGAACUCUGUUGAAGGAACUCGGCAAAUUACUCCCGUAAGUUCGCGAGAAGGGAGCCUGGCAUUAGGCAACUGGUGUCCAGGGGCACAGACCAGGGGGUGGCGACUGUUUAUUAAAAACACAGGGCUCUGCGAAGUCGCAAGACGACGUAUAGGGUCUGACGCCUGCCCGGUGCCGGAAGGUUAAAAGGAGGGGUGAGAGCUCCGAAUUGAAGCCCCGGUAAACGGCGGCCGUAACUAUAACGGUCCUAAGGUAGCGAAAUUCCUUGUCGGGUAAUUUCCGACCCGCACGAAUGGUGUAACGACUCCUACACUGUCUCAACGAGGGACUCGGCGAAAUUGUAGUCGUGGUGAAGAUGCCACGUUCCCGCAUCAAGACGGAAAGACCCCGUGAACCUUCACUGCAGCCUAUUACUGGCUCUCGCCAUGGAAUGUGUAGGAUAGGUGGGAGACGUUAUGCCGUGGUCGCCAGAUCACGGAUAGUCACUGGUGAAAUACCACUCUUUUCAUGGUUGGAUUCUAACCCGGGACCGUUAUCCGGCCCGGGGACAGUGGUAGGUGGGCAGUUUGACUGGGGCGGUCUCCUCCGAAAGCGUAACGGAGGAGUGCAAAGGUACCCUCAGUGCGGUCGGUAAUCGCACGUAGAGCGUAAAGGUAUAAGGGUGCUUAACUGCGAGACAAAUAGGUCGAGCAGGUGCGAAAGCAGGUCUUAGUGAUCCGGUGGUCCCGUGUGGAAGGGCCAUCGCUCAUCAGAUAAAAGGUACUCCGGGGAUAACAGGCUGAUCUCCCCCAAGAGUCCAUAUCGACGG